ACCUCAGGUGAUCAGUCUGCCUCAGUCUCCCAAAGUGCUGGGAUUACAGGCAUGAGCCACCACGCCCGGCCAAGUUCUCAGUUUUUAAACUUGACAGCAGGAACUUAUAUAGCUUUUCAUAGGAGAGACAUUAAGAAAUGUAGCUUUUAAUUCAGGCUUACCUUUUUGCAUCAGAGAGUAUGAAGCCUUGUACAAUGAUGGCCAUGCUCUCUCUGCUUUGUCUGUUUUUACUUUAGUUAUUACCAAAAGAUAUACAGUUUUUUAACUAGGAAUAAAGAAAUAAACACAAUGAAUGCAUUAUAAUAUAUAUUCAAAAACAUAUCAAAACAGCCUUACCCAACUGGUCUUGAAAAAGAUAACCUUUGGGAAAUCUUCCAGGCCAGCCAUGAUUGCUGGAAAGAAAAUAAGCAAAUGCUUACUAAAGGGCUUUUCCCAAGUGACAUAUUUCUCUUAGAAUUUCUAGUCUUUGGAUACUGAUACCUUCACCUUCAUCUCAGAUGAUGUAGAAAUUCAUCUCAGAAUUCAGGAACUGAUAGCUUCUAGUUCCUCUGAGAAUAUUCCUCAAUCAACAAGUUGUCUACCUAGCUAAGGCACAGCUUCCUGGAAUUAAGACUUCAUAACCUAGGUUAUAAUUAACUCAGACUUCCUCCUCCCCUUGUACCUUGGCCAUGACCUUAAUCCUCACCUAGAUUUUCCAUCCCAUCUAUGGAUACAAAUUUGUUCUAAAUUAGAUCAACUGAACUCUAAGAUAAGUUGGCAUUGGUAGCUGAAAGGAAUCCUAAACCAAUUUUAGAGUAUAUAGUUAGACUUUAAGCAUGACUCAAAAAAAGCUACACAUCUCAGUGGAGAGAUAAUAUUACUCAGUUUUAUCCAUUUUCCCUCAUUAAAAAAAAAAAAAAAAAAA